AGCAGCUCCACAGUCACGAGUGGAUCAGUGACAGACACAGACACUGAAUGUGUGAAGUCCUGAACCUCCUUCAUCUGUGAUUACUGAAACACACGUUGUCACUGUGAUGAAAAAAAAGCUUUGAUUUCACAAAUGCCUCCUUUUAAGCAGGACUGGUCCAUGAAGAAGGCAGGGAGCACCUGGCUCAUGCUUUGCAGCAGAAGACCCCAGUUCUGCAGGAGACCCUGCACUGCCAGCUCCCCACCUCGCCUGCAGUGCUCAGUGGGGGCAUGUUUGGAGUUACUGUGUGAACCAACACAUGCCUUAUUCCUAAUACAAUACAAGUUUUGUAUUAGGAAGAUCAUUUUUGGUACGUGUUUCAUGACACCUGUUCUGAGGAUUGCU